UACGGGGGGGAGCAAGCGUUGUUCGGAUUUACUGGGCGUAAAGGGCGCGUAGGCGGCCACCGCAAGUCGAUUGUGAAAUCUCCGGGCUUAACCCGGAAAGGUCAACCGAUACUGCGGGGCUAGAGUGCAGAAGGGGGCAACUGGAAUUCUCGGUGUAGCGGUGAAAUGCGUAGAUAUCGAGAGGAACACCUGCGGCGAAGGCGGGUUGCGUGGGCUGACACUGACGCUGAAGAGCGAAAGCGUGGGGAGCGAACAGG
rnacentral:rRNA from 1 species